rnacentral:rRNA from 1 species
AGGUAGUAUUAAAUAUUAAAAACCAAUAUAUCUUGGCGGCAUUUACAUUUAUUAGAGGAACAUGCUUGAUAAUCGAAAACACACGUUAAACCUUACUAUAAAUAAAUCUUGCAUACCACCGUUAAAAGAUUUAACUAAAAACCAAAAAUCAAGACAAAUCCUAAUAAAUCAGGUAAAGGUGCAGAACAUUAUAUAGAUAAUGUGUGUUACCUAUAAAAAAAAUUUAAUAAAUUAAUAUUGAAAUAUUUAACAAAUCAGGAUUUAAAAGUAUUAAAAGAAAAUCAUACUUUUAAAAAAAAAAUAAAAAAUGUGC